UUUUGAUACUCUGUUCUAAUUUACUAAGAAGAGUCACCAAUUUUGUUUCUGUGGUUUGUGACCUGAGAAGCUACAUAUUGACAUGGCGCUACCACGGGUGGAGGAGCGUGCAUUGCUGAAUCACAGGAUGAAGGCGAAUCCCUGCCAGCCUCCAUCCAUCUCUCGAAGAAAAUUUUGCUCAUUUUAGUGAUCAUCAUAAUUAUAUGGCAAAAGAGAACAAACCACAUCUUAAAAACAUAACAGCAC
rnacentral:lncRNA from 1 species